CAGAGAAUAAGGAUAAAAUCCAUCUUGUUCCAAAUAUAUUAUAGGACGAACAAAGUUAUAGGGCAUAUCUUUAAUAUGCCAAAUUUCUCAACCCUGAGCAUUCUCAAAGUGAGGGAAGAAACAUCAUUAUGGAAAAAGUGAAAAGCACUUACCGAGAGUGAAGCUGCUCGUGCAUUGAAAUUCAUGUCUUCUUCUAGAAGGAGAAUAUUAGAGCAGCUUCCAUAAUAACUCUUUAAGAAUUCAAGUAGAAGAGUUGACGGUGGUACAUUUCCAGCCUUUUUUGACUUCUCAGACUAAACGCACAAAAGAUAGAAUUGGUUAGUGGACCUGCGGACAGUUGUUUACAAAGGUGUAUUCACGUGAUAUGUGUGUGCUCAUGAAUGCUACAAGCUUCUGUAGAAUGUAUAAAUAAAAGCUGCAUUCACUUUAAUAAAUUCCAAAACCCUCUUCAUGCAGGAAAACUUUUGGGAC
rnacentral:lncRNA from 1 species